AUCAAACUAUUAUAGAAGAGCAAGAUGCAGAAGACAAACUAUUAGGGCUCAAAAACAGCCAUGGACAGCCGUAGAACUAAAGUGGCAAGACUCUACAGAGACGAAGCUAAUUGCUGCAAAAUAGUUAACUAAAGCUCCAAUACCUCAAUACAAUGAAUAUGCGGCUCUUAAAAAAACCCAAAGGAUAUCUUCUGCUAGAAAUAGAUUGUGAAAACCACAGAACAGUGAAAACCAAAGGACAAUAGAUACAUAUAUCACUGAAAGCUUCCCCACAAUCAAGCCAAAAAUAUUUGAAUUAGUAAGUUACUUCUGAUCAAGCAAGAUAUUGUCAUAUACUUAUUACUUUAUUAAAUACCUAUUACUUUAGUAAAUUACAUUAGGUAGGAUAUAGUUCCCAUAUAAUAUGUAAAGAGCUUAUUGUACUUUAAUUUUUUUUUGGUGCAAAAAAUGUUUAAGUUUUAGCAUUUAUGAUCAUUUUCCCGACGACGAAUGUGAAUUAUGUUUCAAUGAGAAUAAAUUCAAAUGUUUAAAAUAACGGUUUUACUUG